AGUCCCCCAGACCUACCAAGGGCAUGGUGGUCCAGAAGGAAGCAUAGGCCCAGAUGGCUGCCAGGCAGAUGUAGGCGUGCUUUCUUUUCAGCCAAACCCCUGGAGGCGGAAGAAAAGCAUUACCCGGAUGUAAUCUGCCCUACACCCAGAUACCUCCCCUCGAUAUGUCAAAUUCCACCUCCAAAGAUUUAUUCCAUUGAUUUCUGGGAGACCUGGGCAGAUAACUGAAGCCUGAGGGAGAGUGGAGUAAACGGAAAAAAGUUCCAGAGCUUGGGCCUUUCUCCAGGAGAACACAAUUGGAAGGUUUUCUCUAGGCAUCUGGGAGCUUUGGGAGGGAGAAGUGACAACAGCUGGGAAAAGGGACAGGAAAGAGAUGAGAGGAUGCUGAAGACAAUGGAGGCCCUUGAGAAAACAUCUCGGAAAGGGUGUGUUAGUGGAUCAUCCAGGGAAAAUCCUUCUGGGAGGUGAGGAAGCACAAAACAUGGCUUGUGUCUUUAAAACGCCCUUCCUGCUAACAGCUUUUGUGUUGCUAGUCUUAUCUGGCUUCCUAAGAACUUGUGGAAGGGGCUUGGUGGCUCGUGAUCAUGACACUAUGGUUUGAGAUUAAAGUCCUUGACUGUGUUUAGUAAUUUGUGGAGCAGGUUUGGAAUCUUCAAACGUCAUUCACACAACAAUCGCGCUCACACAGCCACAGCGGGAGAGGCAGAGAAUCUAGGUAGGUUGCAUCAUGUUCUGCAAAGUAAUUCUGUGAAGAUAUUUUCAGGAAGA
rnacentral:lncRNA from 1 species